rnacentral:rRNA from 1 species
AAACUAGGAUUAGAUACCCUAUUAUAUUAAUUUUAAAAAAAAUUUAAUUAUUAAAUGUAUAUCAUUAAAAUUAUAAAAUAUGGCAGUUAUAUAAAAUUUUAGGGGAACUUGUAUAUUAAUUCGAUAAUCCACGAUAUUAGAUACUAAUAAAAUAUAGAAAUUAUUUUUGUAUUGUUGUUUAAAAAUUUUGUAUUAAUAUAAUAAUUAAGAUUUUUUUAUAAAAAAAAAUUCAAAUCAAAAUAAAGUAUUUAUUAGAUAAUAUGAGUUACAUUAAUAAAAAAUUUAUUUAAGUUAAUGGUAAUAAAUUUUAAUAUUUUUAAUGAAUAGGAUUUAAAAGUAAAAUUAAUUAGUAUAUAUUAAUUUGAAUAUUUUUUAUAUAAUGUACAAAUUGCCCGUCAAUUUCAAUAAAAUUUGAAAUAAGUCGUAACAAAGUGAGAAUAUUGGAAAAUGUUCUUAGAUAAA